CAAACCGUCCUUUUCAGGACGACAAAAAAUUUAAAUAAGAGAAGAG
rfam:Nicotiana sylvestris Nsyl_contig390345, whole genome shotgun sequence.